AGUUUUUCUCAUUGCAGCUACACAAGUCCAAAACAAGAACUGGAAGAAAGGAGAAGUGCCUUCUGUUUGGACAGGUUCAGCCAAUUUCAGGUCCAGGUAAUCCCACAGGAGUUUGGCCAAACUCCAUAAAGCUCUGUGGAAGCAGACUGGGACACUUCACUGAGUUUUAGGGCUGCAACAACAUAAAGGCACCCCAGUGUGGAUAUGAAAAUGCUGUCUUCGUUGGGUUGUCAGCCACAGCCUGAGCUUCACUUCCCUGUUUGGUUCUUCCUCAUGUUCAAAAGAUUUGACUCCAUCCCUGAGAUGCAACAUAGUUUUGGAAAUCCUGCUAAGCUCCACAUUUCCUGAAGACAAUACUUCCCCAUAAUACUGGAGAAGAACACUGUCACUUAUUGGCAGAGAAUUGCAGCCUCUGAAAUUCACUGUGGAUUCAAAUUUUUCCUGUGUCCUCCAAGA
rnacentral:lncRNA from 1 species